UGUGAUUUCAUUUAAAAAAAUAAUAUUGACACCCUUAUAAGGUAUAAAAGAUGAAUUUAAAAAGUAAUUAAAAACUGGCAAAUGAAAUAAUAUACAACAUUUAAGAAACAAUAAAAAUGAUGUUCUUUACAUAAUUAUUGUUUUAUGGGAAAUAGAGUCGUUAGCCUUAAAAUAAUAAAUUUAUAUACGCCUAAUUCAGCUGUCACGAAAACUAAUGAGGUGUUUUGCGUCUUUUCAGUCAUCCAUUGAAUGACCUAGGGUAGAUGGGAGCUCAAUUUCAGUUCUUUGCAUAAUAGAUUAUUCUAGUGUCUUACACUCCGACUGCCCGAACUGUUGCAGAGAUCACACUGGCUAGUUGACAAGUGGAGAGGCACUUUGGAGAACUCUUAUGUUUAAUAAAAACUUUGAUUGUGAUAUUAUAAUGCUAGUACUCUGUCUAGUCAGGUUAUGGCCCUUCAAUAGUUUUGAAUUCUCUGAAAGACAAGAUAUAUUUAGAAAAAAAAUAUAUUGAUGGAAAAAAAUGUAAUUUCAAAAUAAAAAUACCAAAAAUAUUUAAAAAUGUGUUUAUUUAAUUUAAAAACGAAACCACAGUAUUUUGUAAAUUAUUU